UGCAAGUCGAGCCGAGCGGAACCAACAGAUUUACUUCGGUAAUGACGUUGGGAAAGCGAGCGGCGGAUGGGUGAGUAACACGUGGGGAACCUGCCCCUAAGUCUGGGAUACCAUUUGGAAACAGGUGCUAAUACCGGAUAAUAAAGCAGAUCGCAUGAUCAGCUUUUGAAAGGCGGCGUAAGCUGUCGCUAAGGGAUGGCCCCGCGGUGCAUUAGCUAGUUGGUAAGGUAACGGCUUACCAAGGCGACGAUGCAUAGCCGAGUUGAGAGACUGAUCGGCCACAUUGGGACUGAGACACGGCCCAAACUCCUACGGGAGGCAGCAGUAGGGAAUCUUCCACAAUGGACGCAAGUCUGAUGGAGCAACGCCGCGUGAGUGAAGAAGGNUUUCGGAUCGUAAAGCUCUGUUGUUGGUGAAGAAGGAUAGAGGUAGUAACUGGCCUUUAUUUGACGGUAAUCAACCAGAAAGUCACGGCUAACUAC
rnacentral:rRNA from 1 species